GACAGAGGGUGCGAACGUUGUUCGGAAUUACUGGGCGUAAAGCGCAUGUAGGCGGCAGCACAAGUCGGGCGUGAAAUCCCACGGCUCAACCGUGGAAGUGCACUCGAAACUGCGCAGCUAGAGUCCUGGAGAGGAAGGUGGAAUGCUUGGUGUAGAGGUGAAAUUCGUAGAUAUCAAGCGGAACACCGGUGGCGAAGGCGGCCUUCUGGACAGUGACUGACGCUGAGAUGCGAAAGCGUGGGGAGCAAACAGG
rnacentral:rRNA from 1 species